CUGGGAAUUGAACUCAGGGGCACUCAACCACUGAGCCACAUUCCCAGCCCUAUUUUGUAUUUUAUUUAGAGAGAGGAGGGCCUCACUGAGUUCCUUAGCACCUCACUUUUGCUAAGGCUGGCUUUGAACUCACUAUCCUCCUGUCUGAGCCUCCUGAGUUGCUAGGAUUAUAGGCGUGCAUCACUGCACCAGGCUUCUUAUGUUGUUGUUUUAAUACUUUUUUUUUUUUAGUUAUAGAUAAACGCAAUACCUUAUUUAUUUUAUGUGGUGCUGAGGAUCGAACCCAGUGCCUCACACGUGCCAGGCAAGCGCUCCACCACUGAGCCACAACCCCAGCCCUUGUGUUGUUUUUGACACAGUAAUGAGACAAAUUAAGAAACUUUGAGUGCUUGCUUCAGCAGCAUAUAUACUAAAAUUGGAACGAUACAGAGAAGAUUAGCAUGGCCCCUGCGCAAGGAUGACACUCAAAUUCGUGAAGCGUUCCAUAUUUAAAAAAAAAAAAAAGAAAGAAAGAAACUUUGAAUUCACUUCCAGAAAAUAGUUCUUGGUCUACAGCAGGUCAAACUUGACAAUGUGGCAAGUUGUAAGUCCUGAACUUUUGAGUGGAAGGAAUAUAAAAUUCACAUGGUGUGGCUUUUGUAGUCUAGAGGCACCGAGUGUCCACAUGUACAUAAACACAUCCGUUUGCUUGUAGACAGGCCCCCAGCAGAGCGGAGCCAUAAACAAAUGGAGUGAAAUGUGAGAUGGUGAAGAACAGGUUGGACACCAAGCCCCCACGCUGAUUGCCUCUGGGGCAUUAUCUUGGUUUUGUCCCUCUGUCAGGUGAAACCCAUGCCCUCUCUGGAGCUGCAGCCUCAGAGGCCCUCAGGCUCUGGGCAGGUGGUAGGUGCAGGGGGCUGUGGAAGCUAGAGAGCUCUGACCCAGGGAAGCAGGCCCCUGGGGAAAGAGCCUACUUUUGUAGAAAUCAGACAGACUUUAUAUGAAAUCCACUUACUGGUUGGCAACUCCCUGACCACCUGUGGCCACACAGGGUGCUGUGACGGUUCUAGUGUGGGCAGAGGGGCGCAUCCUAUGGUCUGGCAGAGGGUUUCCUUCCACUUGAGUUUUCAUGAAGCUUUGGUUUAUGAUUGUGACCUCGCUCUCACAGAACGUUUGUCACAGAUAACGUUUUUUUCAUUUCAUCAGGUCUUAGAGGAAAGAGUGUUUAUGGUCCUACUUUAUCCUGUCAUCCUUACCCAGAUCCUAGAUGUCCUUUUUUUUCCUCUCUCUUUUCCUUUUGUGUGUGGGUGUGUGUGUGAGAGAGACAGAGAGAGAGAAAGACACUGAAGCCAGGGGCGCUCCACCCCUGAGGUAUAUCCCUAACAUUUUUUAUUUUUUAUUGACUGUCUCACUGAGUUGCCCAGGCUGGCCUUGAACUCAGCAACCCUCCUGCCUCAAGCCUCCUGAGUCUUUGGAUGACAGGUGUGCAUCACCACACCCGGCCACAGUCAUCCAUUUUUACAAAAAUUCUUGAAAUAAAACUAACUGUUCACUUACAUGCUUUAAAAAAAAAAAAAAAAAAACACGAUACACGGAUUUUCUUGAGGGAUAAUUUUAUACAUGAAUUACAUAGCUGUGAUAACAGCUGAAAUUCACAAGGAAAGCUUUCUUAUUUACUAAUUCCUAACAAUUCCAUGUUUGGACUUCUUAAAUAGCUUCAGCAAACACUUGGGUAUUUGUAAGGUGUGUUUACUUUUAGCCUGUGACAACCUAUAUAAUUCUGAGUUAGACGUUAUUAAACCCAUUGUACAGAGCUAGAGGUUGAUCCCCUGCCAUCCUACCCACUGCUUUUUCUUAUUUUAUUUAUUUUUUAUUUUUUCAUGUACCAGGGAUUGAACCCAGGGGUGUUUAAACACUGAGCCACAUCACCAACUCUUUAUUUUCUGUUUUGAAACAGGGUCUCACUAAGGUGCUUAGAUAUGCAACCCCCGCUUGCAUAUCUUUUUAAAGAUUCUGCUCUGUGUAUUACAAAACACGUACUCUGCAGAACAGAGCUCCAGUUCCCAGCUGAGGAUGCUGCAUUCAAAGGGCAGCCCUGAAAACAGCAAGCUAUCAUCUUCUAUUGCAUGCCUGCAUGAAUCUCCCAACUGGUAUCUCUGCCAGGUUGUUCUCAACCAAAUCAACCAAAUCCUCUGUCAACUGGUGGCAUGUAUACCAUGGGAUCACUCAUCCCUUGAAGCUGAUUGGACCAGGGGAGACCAUCCAUUGAUUAUCAGCUAAUCAGAUUCUCCACUGGACUUCAUCUUCUUGAAAUACCUGUGUAGCCUUUAAAUCUGUACUCUUUGUGAACUGUUUGCUUCCAAAUCCACCAAAAGCACAGAAAUUGCAAGUAAGAUCUAGACAUUUUCGUAGUUAUUUUGUCAAUUGUCUAUGGAAUCUAAUGGUUUAAAAAAAAAAACAUAGUUCGUAAUUUACAGGUCUUAUCAUUUUUCUCUUAAUUUUCUAAAAAAUAUUAAUACGAUGUUUCAGAAAGCAAAACUAAAACCAGGCGGUGGUGCACGCCUGUAAUCCCAGCAGCUUGGGAAGCUGAGGCAGGAGGAUCGAGAGUUCAAAGCCAGCCUCAGCAAGAGAGAGGCCCUAAGCAACUUAGGGAGACCCUGUCUCUAAAUAAAAUACAAAACAGGGCUGGGGAUGUUGCUCAGUGGUCGAGUGCCCCUGAAUUCAAUCCCUGGUACAAAAAAGAAGAAAGCAAGUAAGACAGACGAAAGUCCUUCACCAGGGAUAAUUUGAGAUGCACUGCUUUAAAUAAUAUGUUCAUUUCCUUUCGGAGAGGAGGGGACCCAUCUGCAGUGAGUUUCUUUUCCUCUUCAACAAGCUCUACAAUGAUGCAGGAGCCUUGCUAUAACCUGAUCAACAGAGCGGGGGCUGUCAGGGUCUGAUCCCAAAGCUUUGCUUGCGGCUAUGAUUGAGGUAAUUGCAAUGGACUCCAGACCAAUGAAGCACUCAGACAACCAGGGGGAGGGAACGAAAGAUAAAGAUGAACUUAGUAUUUUGAGAUAAGCAGGACAUGAUGUCAACUGGAACAUAAUACACGGAACCACAUGGCCUGGAAUUAAGUGGCAUAAUGAGAUUUGUAGAGCACUCAAUCAUCUAAAAGCAAUUUUAUGUAAAGUAUUUUAUUUAUUCCUUUAGAAAGUCAGUAGGGUAAGCAGAGCAGAUAUAAUUUCUGUUUUCCAAAUGAGUACACUGUGAUUCAGAAAGGUUAACGAUAAGCCAGUGUGACACUUAGCUGAGAUACCAGUGUGACACUUAGCUGAGAUAACGCCAAAUCCUAAUGGGGUUUAAUCUUCUGCCUACAUCAGGGGUUCCUACCCCUCAUGGGGUCCAAGCAGCCUUAUGCAGUUGGCUACAAUUGUAGACCUUUCUUCCUCUUCCACCCCACAGCUAUGCAGACAGCAAAAUUAUAUGGCAAAUUUUAGGGGUCUCCUACACUGCUGUUUUCAACAGGAAUGUGGUGUGGUGGCACACGCCUGUAAUCCCAGUAACUCAGGAGGCCAAGGCAGGAGGAUCACAAGUUGGAGGGAGCAUCAGCAAUUUAGCAAGGCCCUAAGCAACUUAGGGAAAUCUUGUCUAGAAAUAAAAAAUAGGAGGGCUGAGGUGUGGCUCAGUGGCAGAGCACUUGCCUAGCAUGUGUGAGGCACUGGGUUUGAGUCUCAGCACUUCAUAUGAAUAAAUAAAUAAAAUAAAGGUCCUCCUGCCUCAGCCUCCCAAACCACUGGUAUUACAGGGGUACACCACCAAGCCAAGCUUCUCCAGUCAUUUCCUACUUUUGACUCAUCUGCAAGCCCACAGAGAAUUCAGUCACCUGCAGUUUCAGAGAAUUCAGGGUGGAGGAACAUAUCAGGGAAAAAGAAAGUGAUACUUAGCCUAGGCCUUCCAGGAGAUGCCAAUCUGGCAAAUUCAAAGACCCACAUGCUGGACAAGAUGGCGAGAUGAAAAGGUUGAUACAGAGGAUUCUUGGGAAAGAAAUUUGAAGAAGUAAUGAAUGACCAAAUGUUAAGAGUCUUGAACAAGAAGCUAAAGCAUGUCAACCUACAAUCUGUGAACUUUAGGGCACCAUGUACAAAAUGGCAUUUUAAGAUUACUAUGGCCAGUUGCAGUGGCACCAACCUGUAAUCCCAGGGACUCAAAGGCUGAGGCAGGAGGAUCGUGAGUUCAAACCCAGCCUCAGCAACUUAGGGAGGACCUAAGCAACUCAGCAAGAUCCUGUCUCUAAAUAAAAUACAAAAAAAAAAAAAAAAAAGGAUGGGGAUGUGGCUCUGUAGUUAAGCACCCCUGGUUCAAUCCCUGGUACCAAGAAAAAGAAAAGAUUACUCUGAGAGUGGUGUGGUUUGAAAGGAAGGAUUGGAAACAAGAAAUGCAAUUCAACAGAGCAGAAAUGAAACAUGCCUGGAAGAAAAGUUGACAGGCAAGAUGGCUAAGGACACUCCUAGGAGAUGGUGAGCUUAUGAGCCUUGGGCUGCUCGCCUGGAGAGCAGAAACGAGACGUGCAGGUAUCAAGCUCACUCCUGGCAAGGCCACCUCCUGACCAGGUGAAUCAGUGAGGUUACAAGGAGCCACUUUCAAACUUCGAUCAUGUAUUAAAGCAAAGAGAAUAAUUUAGGUAAUUUACAGAUUGCAAAAAGAAUAAGCCAAAGAUGCUAGGUCCCUGUGACUUUUGUCUCACCCACCAAGAAGUCCACUACCACAACUAAGAGGCCCAGUGCAUGCAGUGUCUCAGGACAGCUCCCUGCUCGACAGAAGGUGGCCCCAUAGCAGCUCCCUCCAUGUCCAUGAAGAUCACAAGGCGUUCUGCCAAGACUCAGAUAAACCACUGUUCAAGACAUUGCCUAAGCAGAUAUGAGCAAGGUCACUGUGACACCAUCACAGAGUCAUGCCCCCACACAGGAUGGCACCUUUUUGAGACCAGAUCUCGCUAAGCCACUAAGGCUGGUCUCCAACUUGCUAUCUUCCUGCCUCCCCCUCCUGAGUACCUGACUUGAUUUUCUUUCUAGCCCUUUCUCCCAAUUAACAUUGAUCUAUGUGCCGUCUGUUCCCUCUAAUAGAAUGCACAGCCCACCAAGGCUGGGAUCAGGGUUUGUGUUUCCACUGCUGCAUCCCCAGCAGGAGAACGAUGCCUGGUGUCUACUCAGUCCUCAAGAUGAAUUUCCUGCAUGAAUAAGUCAAUGGCAGCCCUUGGAACAACUGUAGCCUUGUACAGGGGACCUGCAGAGGCAUGUGGGGGUAGGGGAGAAAUGUCCUAAAGAGGGAAGCCCCGAAUGAUCAGUGACUCAGGAGGGCCGUUCUUGGACGACACCAUGUUCAGCAAGUCGGUCUCUGCUGAUCAGUUCUGCUUUGUUAAGGAAUGUGGGGGUGUAACUAGCAGCCUGGGAAGCAAGUGUCCAGUGGGAAGGAACAGAUCAAAGAUGCAAAAGUGAGGUGAUAGCUGUGGAUUAGAACCCAGCGCUGACUUAGAUCUUUUAGUCCCCAGCUUGCAUCAAGGCCGGGAGUUAUCACUUCCCAUAUCCUCCCCUUUUCCCAGCAUACAGGCUGCUGGUUCCUAAAAGUGGGCAGCAGUGCCUGCUAUAGCUACUUACUCUUUGGCUACCUUCCAGAUGGGUGACAGAUAAGAGGGCACUGCAUGUCACUGUUAGAAUGUUUUUUUGGUACCGGGAAUUAAACUCAGGGACACUCAACCACUGAGCUGCACCCCCAGUCCUAUUUUGUAUUUUAUUUAGAGACAGGGUCUCACUGAGUUGCUUAGUGAUUUGCUUUUGCAGAGGUUGGCUUUGAACUCACAAUCCUCCUAUCUCAGCCUCCUGAGCUGCUGGGAUUACGGGCGUGCACCACCGUGCCUAGUGUUAGAAUGUUUUAAGGAAAUCUGGCUUGAUACACUACAAUGAAUCCUGUUUGUAUGUAUAAUUACAAUGCACUAAUUGAAAUAAUAAUAAUAAUAAUAAUAAUAGAAGGGAGAUCAGCAGAGCAAGCAGAUGGAAGAGGGGGAGAGGGAAAGAAAAGGUCCUGCAGAAUGAGAUUGAUGGAAUUAUGUAUGUUAUGUGCAUGUAAGAAGGCAGCAUGACCAGUCUCACUAUUAUGUAUAAUUAAAGGCAGCAAUAAAAAAAAAUUUUAAAAUAAACCUGACUUGAGGCAUAUUAAACAGGUAGACAUAAAAAGUACUUGUUUCACCUCGCAUAGGAGCGCAUACCUAUACUCCCUGAGACUUAGGAGGUUGAAGCAGGAGGAUCACAAGAUCAAGGUCAGCCUAGAAAACUUAGAGACCUUGGGUAACUUCUGAAACAUAAAAUGGACUGGAGGUGUAGCUUAGUGAAAGAGUGUUCCUGGGUUCCCCUGUGUGUGUGUGUGUGUGUGUGUGCGCGCGCACGUGCACAUAUAUAUCUAUUAAUAACCCUGCAUUAUUAAUUACCUUUAUUGGACAACCAGAUGCAAUAUUCCUAGAAGUGUUUAAAGCAAAAAACUAAAUUUUUUUUUUAUUAUGGUGCUGGUGUAACAAUGGUCCACUUUAUGCUUUGACUAUAGCCCUUGCUGCUUGGCCACUGCAACUUAUUUUUUAAAUGGACAUGUUUCUUUCUCUUCCUCUCUUCCUGCCCUCCCUAAUUUCUCCCCUUCUCUAAUCUCAGGGGAAACAGGAUUACUUUUCUUUCCCAUUUUAGGCAGAUUUACCUGUCCUUGAGUACACACACAACAUAGAACCUAAGUAAUCCAGAUUUGGGGGAUGGCACCAGAAGAUCUCAGAAAAGAAAUGACUAUCCCCAAAUUAGCAAGUGAAUGACAACUCCAACAGAGAACACGUGAAUGUAGCCUUCUAGUCACCUCUUUAAAAGCCUCUGUUCUUGCUGAUGGGCAGAAUCACAGCCUCUAGGAUGGGAGUCCUCUGGGUUUCUCCUUUGCUAGCAAAGUAAUAAAACUUAUUUUUCCUUUUUCUCAAAAUCAUGUCCUCAUUAUUAGAUUGGCAUCAGGGACAAGGUAACAAAUUUGGCACCCUAGAUGGGACCCAAGAGCAGCCCCCACUCCAGCUUUCUUGGGCAGACCUGGCUCUCCAAAGAACCCCACUUUCAUGCCUGGCUCUCCAAAGAACCCCACUUUCAUGCUGGGAUGCAAGAUGCUAACGAACUUGUUGAGAGCCAACUGCUAGAGCGUUAGGAGAUGGGUGAGUUUGCUAUGGGUUGAACCAGAGGAGCAGUUCCUGUGAGCAAAGGGAGGGACUGAGGGACCCUCCCAGCAGCUGCCAAAGCUCCUUUGGCUUUGGAGAACUUCUGCUUUCUCUCCCAUUGUGGUCCACUUUGAGAAAAAGGAAACUGAACUCAGUAAAGUCACAACACCCUUGGCCAUCUGGUAAGUCCCCCAUGUGCACGCCAAGACCUUUGAUUUUACACACCUGUUUCCUCUUCAUGGGAACAUCUGGUCCCUGUUUGUGGGGACACCUGUGGCACCACUGGUGUAGGAGUCCUGGUUAAGCAGGAUAUUUACUCCCUUCAGAUCUAUUCUAGGUUCUCAUCUGUUUGUUGGCCUUGGGUUUGGGAACUCCCUCCGGUUGACUGUGUUUUCAUUUUGUUUAUAUCUGUUAUUACCUCCUUUUAAAACAUAGCCAAUACUGCACUGAUCCCAUCUGUCAGCCAUGGUUUGGGGGUCCUCUCUGUGGUGGUCUCUCUGUUUUUCUUUUUUGAACAGUCUUACAACUGGAGUUGGUCUGUCAGAGGUAAAGUGAGUUGAAGAAAGGACCACCUACAGGAUAAGCCUGUCUAAGAUAAUGUUUUACUGUAACCAUCUGGCUUUUGAAUAGCUUUCUGGAUUAUUAUACAAUCUUGCUGUUGGAGUUGGUAAAGUCAAUGCUAUCUGAUAUCACUCCUGGUUGUCCACAAAGGAGCUACCAGUUCUUCUUUUGUUAUGGUGGUGAGGCUCUGUGACCUGCCUGGGAUCCGUGCUCAAUAAAUGCAUGAAUCUCUGCUUCUGGGGAAGAUAGGCAGGAAAUGUGGAAACAGCAGAAGCACAUCAAGAUGAUUUUAGUCAGCUGUUAAGAUCUGAAGGAAAACUUGAAGCUCACAAGGUUCAGGGAUCACCCUGCUGCGCCAGGCAGGAGGACCUACCCAGUAUGUUCCCUCCAUGCUGGAAUCGCCUACAGGCCCCAGCCCAAGAAUGGAGAGGCAUAGAACCCGGAGGCCACCUGCAGAAGGGACUAAGGGGUGAGUUCUCAGGAUGCCAUUGUCAACCAAAAUCAAUUCUACAAACAGUGGUGUGAAUGCCGACUCUGUCACAGAGACAGCAUCGCUGAAAUCGAGCACUGUUACUAGUGUCCUUGGGCAAAGACACUGGCCCUGGGGGUGCCAAGAGACAAACUUGGCCACUUGUCCCUAUAUGCCAAUCAAAGAGAUGAAUCGUGGUGAAGGGUGAGAAAGGGAGAACUGGCUCUGGAGCAUUCUCUCUCUCUCUCUCUCUCCAUGGGACCCAGGGCUUUGCAACAUACCAGGCAAGUGCUCUACCAUGGAAGGACAUCCCCAGCUCAGCCCAGGAAAGGAGUUUUUCAACACAGCCACACUGGGACAAACCGACACUGGGGCACAGUGACCAAAGAUCUGUCUUCCAGGGACUGACAGAAACUUUGUGGUUUUACAGAAAAGGGCAAUGAAGGAGGUUUGCAUAGCUGCUGGGGAGGUCGUCCUGGUCAGGUCAUUCUGGUUGAUCAUUAUCUCAGGACUGGUUCUGUAUGGCUCUGGAAAGGUCACCAUGGCUGGAGGGAUGGUUCUGUUCUGAUCACGAGAAGAUUACUCCUGCUCAGGGGGCAACCUCGGCUCUGAUAUGGCAUCACUGCUCAGGCUCCGGGAGAUGUCUCAUCAUGUCUAUGGUGGGUUGAACUGUGCUUCCAGGCUGUUGCUUUGAAGUAGUUUCAGUCCUUUGUCAGAGUGAUGCUUAUCCAUCAGGCCUAUUCCUGGAAUGCAGAUAAUUGCAAGAGGAAGUGGCUCAGAGAAAAAGCACUGAAGCCUUGGAAUGGAGUCAGAGAGCGCCAGGAUGGAGUCCGUCAGGCCCAAUCAGCUGAGGGACCCCCAUUUUCUUCUUUCAUGCAUCUGUGCCACGUUCUCCCUUUCCACAGGCCUCUCUCGGUGCCUCUUUUCCCUCCCCUUCACUCUUAGACCUGCUGUUUUAGGCUCCGGGAAGUAAGCGUGUUGGGAUUGGAGUCAAUACAAUGGGAGUAGCCUAGCACUCCAAGGUCAAUGACAACUGGGGAUCCAUCCAUUAUUCCUGAUGUUACAGACAUCGCAAGACCACCUGGGGCUGGAUGGAGUGGCUCACACCUGUAACCCCAGGAGCUCAGGAGGCUGAGGCAGAAAGAUCUCUAGUUCAAAGCCAGCCUUAGCAACUUAGCUAGGCUCUAAGCAACUUAGCGAGAAACUGUCUCAAGAAAAAAAAAAAAAGGAUGGGGAUGUAGCUCAGUGGUUAAGGAUCCUUGGGUUCAAUUCCCCAUAAAAAAAAAAAAAGGAAGGAGGGAGAAGGAAAGAAAAGGAAGGAAGGAAGGGAGAACUGGUGGGAAAACAUGUAACACCCAUGAGAGAGUCAGUUCAACCCUGGCCAGUGGACCACUCCAAGAGACCACAGGGGACUUUGAAAUAGCCCCCCACCCAUACACAAGCACUCCCAGCUUGGCUGUGUUUUACUAAGGAGUCAUAGAUUACUACCUUGAACUGUGUGUGAGUGUGAGUGUGUGAGUGUGUGUGUGUGUGUGUGUGUGUGUGUGGUGCUGGGGCCUUGUGCGUGUGAGGGAAGCACUCCACCAACUGAGCUAUAUCCCCAGCCCUACCCUGAAUGUCCUUAGAAAUUAGAAAGUGUCCCAGGCCACUGGAAGUGCUAUCUCUGAAUGGGAGGGCCAUUCUGUCACUGACAUUCUGAGCACUUUUGUGGCUACAGUGAGGAGAAAAAGCUGCAAGAGGAGGCGGGGAUGAGAGAGAAGAAAACAUGGGACAUUAAAGAACAGCACGCACACCUGUCAUCCCAGUGACUCAGGAGGCCGAGGCAGGCAGAUCCCAAGUCCCAGGCCAGCAUCCGCAAAUUAGCAAGAACUAAAAAUAACAAGUAAGGGGCUGGGGUUGUGGCUCAGUGGUAGAGCACUCGCCUAGCAUGUGUGAGGCACUGGGUUUGAGCCUCAGCACCCCAUAAAGAUAAAUAAAGGUAUUGUCCAUCUACAACUAAACACUAAAGAUAUUAAAAAAUAAAUAAAUAAAUAAAAAUUGAAAAAAAAAAAUGGACAAGAGGUAGAUAUAGCUCAGUGGUAAAGCACACCGGGAUCCUGUUUUAAUCAGCUUUUUUGCUUCUGCCACUCAAAGACCUGACCAGAACAACUGUAGAGGAGGAAAGAAAAUUUGAUAGCUCACGGUUUCAGAGGUCUUAGUCCAUAGAAGGCUGGCUCCAUUCCUAGAUGCUUGAGGUGAGGCAGAACAUCAUGGCAGAAGAAAGCACCUCACAUGAUCAGGAAGGAGAGAGACAGGGGAGG